rnacentral:rRNA from 1 species
UACGUAGGUGGCAAGCGUUGUCCGGAAUUAUUGGGCGUAAAGCGCGCGCAGGCGGCUUCUUAAGUCUGAUGUGAAAUCUCGGGGCUCAACCCCGAGCGGCCAUUGGAAACUGGGAAGCUUGAGUACAGAAGAGGAGAGUGGAAUUCCACGUGUAGCGGUGAAAUGCGUAGAUAUGUGGAGGAACACCAGUGGCGAAGGCGGCUCUCUGGAACGCAACUGACGCUGAGACGCGAAAGCGUGGGGAGCAAACAGG